rnacentral:lncRNA from 1 species
AUGCAUGGGGGUGUUAAAUUUAUACAUGUAUGAGAUGAUUCAUCAAUCUUAGGAGUAGUUUAGUGUAUGCAAAAGGCUGUUUACCCUUUGUGUGGACAGGAUCAUAUAUAGCCAGGACACAGCUGUUUGGCAGCAAUGCUUGGGUCUGCAAAUUUUAAACCAAGGUGCAUCAAUUGUUAGCCACAGUUAGAUGGUCCAGGUUAUUAUUGUCUGUGUGGAUAUAUAUGCGACAGGCAAACAUCUGUUCUGGAAACUUCAUACUUAAAAGUAACGUAUGAUUUUCUGUUUUUUGUUUUACUGAAAAUAAGCCAGGAAAGGUCUAGAAGCUUCGAUCUAGAUUCCAUUGAAAACGUGGGUACAAUCUAAAUAUUGCAACAGUGGCCUUUGACUAAUAAUAAAAUGACAUGUCAGAUCUUCUGUGAAAGGGUGAGUUGCUUGAGGUAAACAUUCCAAACACUCUGGUUUCAUUAGCCCCCUUCUCAUAAGCAACCCUAAGGAAGCAUAUGUGGAGAGAUGACACUGAGAUAAACACCCCUAGCCAACACGACACGAUAUACAUUUGUUCAUGGAGCCAUCUGGCUUCUCUCAGGGCCAGUCCUGAGAUUUCGAGGGCCCGGUGCGAACAUAGAAGACCGGGCCCUAAUAUAACAUUGAAAUAAUAUCCAAUAUAUGUACAUAUGAAAUUUUGUCAAAAAAAUAGUUACAACGCAUAAAAAAGUGAUACACCCGUUCAAAUAUAUAUAUGAUUCUAAAAAUUUCUUCUAACAUUCCUAAAUGCAAAGUCAUUAAUGAUCGUCUCGAUUUCAAUUUCAUCCAAAUAUUUCUUCUCAAUGCAUAAAGUUGCCAAACCAUUUCCGCGUGUCUUCGACUCUUGGUGCGUGCUUCUGUCCGCACCCCCCAAACAUCGGCCCCCCAAAUUUUGAUUGUCUCACCGAUAGUGGUGGCCCGUGCCCCCGCUAGCCCCCCUGUGAGUAGGAGCAGUCUUGGGACGCCGGCUAAAUUCUUGGGCCGCACCGGCUACUUUUUGAAUUUAGAGGAAUGAGCUGGGUGGGUUUUUCAGUGCCGGCACCCCCAUUUGGUGUUCGGGAGCCUAGGGGGGCUGGCUGGAGAUGCUCUAAAUGACAGAAUUAAGCAACAACUAGAGCUCUGAUGACACAAAGAAACGGAAUGAGAGGAUAGCAAUAUGCCCCCUUCUCCCUAGUCUUUUACUGUCAAAUAAGAGUGGGUAUAACCAGUAGGCUGUAGCCUUAGUGCCUUACACUAUUAUGGAUUUUAUAUUACACACGUGUGUAAAACACAAUGAAUUUACCCUGUUUCUGAAAAAAAAAAUAGAUAUGAAGGGCAAAACGAAUGAGAAGUAUUCUUACCUAGCACACAAUCCCAAUCCUUCUUUUGUGAGACCGGGAUCUUGCCCUUUUCAAAAAAAAAACCCUAUUUUAUUUUAUUUGAGGAAAAAAAAAGCAGGUGUUCUGCUAUUGCAUUAAAAAGGAGUGAGAAAUUGUUGUUUUAGCCUGACAACUCAAGUAACUUGCCGGCAGUUUGGCUGUACAGGAAUAGGGUCUGAGUUGCAACCGCCUCCCUUACGAGACUAAGCUCUUCUCUAAUAAGUGUGGUGACACCUUCCACAGUCAGACUUUGUUGUUCAAAAAAACUCUUCCAUUUCUUUCUUUCAACGCUAAUCAGCAUAAUCCCUAUCUUGAGGUUGUGUGCAUCAAACAAAAAAAAAACAAAAAAAAAGGCCGAGUGAGUUCACUAAUCUAGAGAAAAGCACAUAAGCAUACAAACAUAGAGACCAAUGCAUACAACUUGAAUUAUUUUCUUGCAUGUCUCCUAUAAUGACAAUCAAGGAAAAUAAAAUCAUAAUUAUUCCAGAACCUAAUAUAUAUAUAUCCCCUCCUCUCCCUGAAACCUCUUCCUCUUAACCUUCCAUAUUUAACCCUUCCAUGUUUGAUCUUUGUUCCCUAGACUCAAACAUAGCAUAAGCGUUGCCACAUGACACCAUAAUUACACCUAGACAAACACAACGCUAAUCAGCACAAUCAGAACAUAAUAUAUAUAGCACAUCGGUUAACAUAGUGACAUCUCCGCGAACAAAUCAUAAACUCCGCGGCAAAUCGUAAUCCAACACUAAAUAGAAUCUAGCUAGUAUCAACUCUAUGCAUGGUAAGCAAGGGACUUCUUCUUUAGUAGUCAAACUUUACAACACGUAUCAUGUGCUUGACAAAUGAAGCUAGGUAGAAUCAUUCACACUGUCAUGGCAGGAUGGAGACCAUUAGAUCAUUGAGUGCUCCUUGGUCUCCUAAUGCAAAUGCAAGAGUAUGCAACAAACCCCCAACCAACCUUUGUUUUAGAUCUCAUCUUGGUCUCCUAAUGUAAAUGCAAGGUUGUGUUCUGUCGCUCUAGCAAAAUGAUUAGUGUGACCCAUGCAUCUGUUUAUGUGGCACCAACACUUGCGAGUGGA